rnacentral:rRNA from 1 species
GUGGGGAAUAUUGGACAAUGGGCGAAAGCCUGAUCCAGCCAUGCCGCGUGAGUGAUGAAGGCCUUAGGGUUGUAAAGCUCUUUCAGUAGGGAAGAUAAUGACGGUACCUACAGAAGAAGCCCCGGCUAACUUCGUGCCAGCAGCCGCGGUAAUACGAAGGGGGCUAGCGUUGUUCGGAUUUACUGGGCGUAAAGCGCACGUAGGCGGAUUGGUCAGUUAGGGGUGAAAUCCCAGAGCUCAACGCUGGAACUGCCCUUAAUACUGCCAAUCUAGAGUCCGGAAGAGGUGAGUGGAACUCCUAGUGUAGAGGUGGAAUUCGUAGAUAUUAGGAAGAACACCAGUGGCGAAGGCGGCUCACUGGUCCGGUACUGACGCUGAGGUGCGAAAGCGUGGGGAGCAAACAGGAUUAGAAACCCGAGUAGUCC